rnacentral:ncRNA from 1 species
AAAGAUAGAGGCGCGAUAAUUAUCAGUAGCAAUCCCUUAUAAAAAGGGCAUUUUUGGGCUUGUGAAAGGAAUUAUUGCCGAGGUUCGAAAAUUAAUACCUUGAUUUUUGAGCCGGUAUGUUGCAAAAUAUGUUUCAUACUGUCACAAUUUUGUGGAGCGCUAUCA